rnacentral:rRNA from 1 species
UAAGACGAACCGUGCGAACGUUAUUCGGAAUCACUGGGCUUAAAGCGCGUGUAGGCGGAUGUGCACGUCUGUCGCUGAAAUCCCCCGGCUCAACCGGGGAACGGGCGCGGAUACGGCACGUCUGGAGGGGCGUAGGGGGACCUGGAACUUCCGGUGGAGCGGUGAAAUGCGUUGAGAUCGGAAGG